rnacentral:rRNA from 1 species
UACGUAGGUGGCAAGCGUUGUCCGGAUUUACUGGGCGUAAAGAGCGCGCAGGCGGUCGUCCAAGUCGCGUGUGAAAGCCCCCGGCUCAACUGGGGAGGGUCACUCGAUACUGAUCGACUUGAAGGCAGGAGAGGGAAGCGGAAUUCCCGGUGUAGUGGUGAAAUGCGUAGAUAUCAGGAGGAACGACCGGUGGCGAAGGCGGGGUCACUGGGCCGAUAUUGGACGCUGAGGAGCGAAAGCGUGGGGAGCGAACAGG